rnacentral:rRNA from 1 species
GACGUAGGGCGCGAGCGUUGUCCGGAUUUAUUGGGCGUAAAGAGCUCGUAGGCGGUGUGUCACGUCGGCCGUGAAAACCUGCAGCUUAACUGUGGGCGUGCGGUCGAUACGGGCAUCACUGGAGUUCGGCAGGGGAGACUGGAAUUCCUGGUGUAGCGGUGAAAUGCGCAGAUAUCAGGAAGAACACCAACGGCGAAGGCAGCUCGCUGGGACGGUACUGACGCUGAGACGCGAAAGCGUGGGGAGCGAACAGG